rfam:Rodentibacter heylii strain 1998236014 contig_12, whole genome shotgun sequence.
CUCAAUGGUAGCGCAUAAUGGGAAAGGUUCCGCCCUUUGCCGUGUUCCUUGUGUAACGGUUUUGCAGCCCGUUAUGUGCUACCGCCCAA